AUUGAACGCUGGCGGCAGGCCUAACACAUGCAAGUCGAACGAGUGGCGGAUGGGUGAGUAAUGUCUGGGAAACUGCCUGAUGGAGGGGGAUAACUACUGGAAACGGUAGCUAAUACCGCAUACCAUCAGAUGUGCCCAGAUGGGAUUAGCUUGUUGGUGGGGUAACGGCUCACCAAGGCGACGAUCCCUAGCUGGUCUGAGAGGAUGACCCGCCCCACUGGAACUGCGACACGGGCCAAACUCCCACGGGAGGGCGGAGUGGGGAAUAUUGCACAAAGGGCGCAAGGCUGAUGCAGCCAUGCCGGGUGGAUGAAGAAGGCCUUCGGGUUGGAAAGUACCUUCAGCGGGGAGGCGUUACCCGCAGAAGAAGCACCGGCUAACUCCGUGCCAGCAGCCGCGGUAAUUC
rnacentral:rRNA from 1 species